rnacentral:pre_miRNA from 1 species
AAUGGGAUAACUGGGUCAAAUGAUAGUUCCAUUCCAAGUUUUCUGAGGAAUCUCCAUAUUGCUUUCCAGGGUGGUUGCACCAAUUUGCAGUCCCACCAGCAAU